UCUUCCUUGGCCGGGCCCCCCUCGGCCCCGGCCCCCCUGCCUCCGCACCCCGACCGCACCCCUCUCCCUUCCUAGCCCCCGUCUGCCCAGAAAAGCAUUGCCGGAUAAAAGGCAGGACGCCCAGUUACUGCGUGGGGACAAACUUAGGCUAAAAAUGUAUCCUCUCCUUAUCGGGAAUUCAACUGAACUGGGCAUCCUGCAUUUUUAUAAGCGAAAUCUGGCCACCCCGGCCCAGGUCCUAGCACUUCCCUACAGCCUAGCAUAAGGCAUUCCUGGUGCGCACCCCUUCGAAACUCCCAGAACCCCUUCAGAUGUGGAAAUUUGGAACACCCACCCUUUGCCGGCAUCCAGGUGGCUUCACCUAGGGAACCCCCGAGACUGAGUGGCGACUGUGAGUGUACGUUUGGCUGGGGAAGUGGCCAGGAUUCUUGAGCGCCAACGUUGCACUGGCCCUUCACGCGCCUCCACCAUCCUCACUACGGUCCAGGGACGUAGGAACUGGCCUGCCCCUGUUCUGCUGAUGAAGCCACAGGUGCUCAAAGAGGCGAUGUGACCGGCCUAGAGGGCCAAAACCCAGAGCUGCGCCUGGGAGCACCCCCUCCUCCCCUUUCUCUAGCAUCAGAAGCAGCCCAGAUCCAACAAGAUCAGGGCCAAUGGAGGCAGGACUUCACCCAAGGCAGGGACCAAGAUGGAUUGGUUCUGCAGUGUCCCGGGACUCCGUGGGCUACAGAAGGCUCCACCUUGAGGACAGGCUUGCUGAGUGAACGCCUGCUGGUGACAGCCUCAAGAAGAAAGUACAUUAAGCCACCUUCUUCCCAGGAAAGAGAGAAAAGCGUCAAGUCCGUGGGGUGAGGAGAUGGUGCCUCAGAUGAGGAGGCUGAGUCCCAGGGUACACUCAGACCAGGAAGGCAGGCAUCUCAGCAGUGACAAGAACAGGCUAAAGGACAAGAGCCCUACUCCAAUAUUCUGAGUUUGUGAGAACCCCAGGAUUUUACCACCCAGGGUGCAACAGAAGUGACCACGUGCCAGUUCUGAGUCUGGGCCUCAGGUGGCCUUGGAGCUCCCACUUGUUCUCUUGGAACCUUCGCCAGGCCCCAUGUGAGCAUGACUAGGGUGGCCUGCUGGGAUCAGACACCAUGUGGAGGACACCAUCUCAGAGGCCAUCCUAGACUAGCAGAGCACAAAAUGAGAGCGCAGCCGGACAAGAACCUCCCCCAACCCUGCUGUCUUAUAGAUUCAUGAGCAACAAUAAAUGUCUGUCAUUCAAAGUAUCAAGCUUUGGGGUGGUUUGUUCCAGAGCAACAGCUAAGGGGCACACCCUUAAGAGCCCAGGGCCUUCACACUGGGGGCCCCUGCCUCCCCUCCCUGCACAGGCAGCUAAGGGGCACACCCUUAAGAGCCCAGGGCCUUCACACUGGGGGCCCCUGCCUCCCCUCCCUGCACAGGCAGCUAAGGGGCACACCCUUAAGAGCCCAGGGCCUUCACACUAGGGGCCCCUGCCUUCCCUCCCUGCAUAGGCUCUUUACAGAGAAUCAAGCUACUCCCCCAAAGGGGGCCAGCCAGAGUGAGAUAUGGCCCAGCUAGUGCUGACAAUCCCUCUCUGAACCUUUCCUGGCUGGACUGCCUGGGGAGUGGACAUUUUGCCUGAGUACAGGCUAGUCAGAAGAUCCUUGUUGAUAGCAUCUGAGACCCACUUGGGCAGGGGCUUUCUUUGGAAAUAGUGAAGAAACAGAUUUAGUAGCUGGUGUGAGGCCCAGGAACCUGCAUUCAGCUGGUUUCGACUUGUGGGACUAUGGGAGCACCAAGGUGCCGGUCUUUUCUCUAAGCUGCAGGCGUUCAGGGCCCAAGGGAAGCGCUAUUUGUGAAGGAACAAGUUCAGUGCAAGUGAGGCUUGGAGAAGACUUGAAAGCAGCUUUUGUUUUUGUUUUUGAGGCAGGGUCUCGCUUUGUCACCCAGGCUGGAGUGCAGUGACGUGAUGAUAGCUC
rnacentral:lncRNA from 1 species